AAAGCUCUUUCCUCUGGGCAAUUCUAUUUGCAGUUUUCUGGCAGUCAUACUGUGAGUAACAGUGGAUUUUUGAUUCCACUUUUUUAGUUUUCUUUAGACAACAUGACCAUCAGCAGGUCCUGUGGACAACGUGCUGCCUGUAAGCUGUGGGACGGUUUUAUAUGUUUUGAUUCAGUCUUCUGUGGAAAUAUAGCACAGGAAUAGCAGAAGCUCAACCUACGACCUCUAGCACCUUAGGCAAUAGCACACAUCAAAUGCAUGUGUCACAGGCAGCGUGGGUACAUGCAUUCCUGCAUGCACACAUAUAUGCAUCUGGACUGUUGCCUUGUGAGAGUCAAAGAUUGACAGCAGGAAAGAAAUACAUAUGUCAUUUCCUCUGCCUUUCUGUACAUCACAGCACAAUUUUUUUUUCUACGUUGGUUACUGGAUGUUGCUAAUCAAUGUGCUCCAGAACAGAAAGCUGCAGAAUGUCAGGCAGAAGAAGUUUUGAACCAUUCUGAAGGUUUUAAGAUGGAGUCUUUGAGCUGGGCCUUUAGCACCUGGCUAGCAUUUUGCAUAUAUAUGAAAUGUGGCUAAUUUUUGUUUAGCAACAAGGCAAAUUCUCCUGUCAUUUCAGCUCCUCAGGAAUGAUGAAAAGCAGUGUCUUUAGAGCUGUUAAGAACUCUUGCAAAUACAUGGUGGUUUCAUCUGCUUUACAGCAUUUUUACGUGCUCCAGUUCUCAUAUCACACGCAGAAGAACUUUCAGCUUUCUCUGAAGUUAUAGUUCCAUAAUCAAAAGACAUUUAAGAAGGGAUAAUGAUCAAUUCUACUGAUUCUGCAUUUUUUUCCUAAAAGGGCCCUGGAUUGUUCCCAUUGUCCAUAUUUGAGCAACAGAGAAGCUUCUGCUGUUCCUGCAGCAAUGCUCAUUUUGUCUUUCUCCUCUCCUUGCUCUUUGCUCUUUGAAUUCCGUAACCCAUAAUAUUCACUAGAACUUCCUCACAUAUCUACUGCCAGAAAAAUCAACAGUGUAGUGUUUAUCUGAGCACAGCAAAGCCAACAGCUAUGCAAAUGCUACUCUAAAUUAAUUGCACAAGCUUCCUUGGACGAGAGCAGCUCCUUUUGUAAUGCAACCAUCUAACAAGCCAACAUUAGGAAGUAAAUAUUAUGUACUGCAAAAACUAUCAAUCCUUCCAGACCAGAUAUUUCAGUCAAACAUGAGGGUGGAAGGCAUGUUCCAACAGAAUCAUCAUUUGAUAUGAUCAAAAUCAUUAUCAAAGCGGAAGUUUUAUUGCCUAGGCAUACUGCUCAGUGUGCUGCCUGCAACCACAAAGAGAUGAGAGAAUCAUAUUCUUGGAAACAGAAGAAUUUCUUCCCCGUCAACUCACCCUCUCCAAAAUGUUUGGUGAGUUCACGUGGCAGCUGUGUCUUUUAUUCAUAAAGAAACCCCCAAAAAUGACUUUACAUUAACCAAGAGCACAGUCUUUACCCAUACCUUUGUUACUUUCUCCUUUGGUCCUG
ensembl:lncRNA